AAGGUGAAUUUGAAAUCAAGAUUUAGAAGAAGUAGUAACUCCUAGCAACAGUGUGGAUUUUGGAAAUAAUUCAUUUUCUUUUUCUUUUGUGAGUAUUUAAUUUCUUAUUAUGAAAGUUACUUGACAAAAAAAAAAGAAAGUUACUUGACAAUAUGACAUAAUUCAUUUUGUUGAUUCAUACAUUCAAUAGGUGAAUACAUUAUUAAGCACUCACCUGGCUCUGAGGCCAGGUAGGGGAGGUCAGAGAUAAUCAGAUGCCCAACUCUGACCUUAAGAACUCACAGUCUAUCUGGGAACAUAAGGAACCUAGAAGGAGGAAGAUAUCUGGGAAAGCACGAUGAGUGUGGUCUUUGGGUUGUGCUGAAUUUGAGGUCUUCAAGUUGGAACAUCUAGUUGUCCUUUGGAUGUGUCUGGAGGUCCAGAGAGCUCUUGUCUGGAGAAGUAGGUAGGUGGUAAGUAAAGCUGUGGUCUGGAGUAAGAAGAAAUGAAGGUGAGUUGUAGAGGUCACUUGAAAGGCAGGUAGUGGCAGGGAGGGAUCAGUUAAAGAGACCAAGAUAGAACCAGCAGGAAGGUAAAAGCAACAUCAAGAAAGGGGGGUAUGUGGAAGCCAAAAGGGGGCAACGAAAGAGUUGAAGAGAAAUGUCCCAGAAGAAAGGAUACAGAGACUAGAAAAAUGAGACAAGCAGAGCCCAUCACUUUUGGAAUUUGAUCAUUGAUGACCUUAGCAAGGCCACUUCAGUGGAGUGGUGGGGACAGAAGCCAAUUACAGCAAUCUACAGAGUGAUGAGAUGUGAGAAAAUGGCAAUAGGCAAUGGAGAUUCUUAUGGGCUUGCCUAUAAAGGUUAGAGGGGGACAUAGGGUAGAGGGAAGAACUUUUUUAUGAUGAUAAACUAAAUAUAGCUUCCGUUUAUUAGAUAUUUAGGCAUUGUGCUGAGUUCUUUACCUACAUUAUCUCAUUUAAUCUGCAUUAUCAUCUACAGAGGUGAGUAUUAUUAUUCCCCGUUUCUAGAUUAAAGUACUGAGGCUUAGGGAUGUGACCUUAGUUUCUAGAUUAAAGUACUGAGGCUUAGUUAUAUGACCUCAGUACACAGGAAGAGACACAACAGGGUCAAACCUCAAAUUUCCCUAGCUGUAAAGCCCUAUUUUUAGUCCAUAUGCUGACCAGUGGUUCUCAGACAUUAGUGUGUGUGUGGAUCACUUGGAGGGCUGGUUAAAACAGAUUGCUUGGUCCUAGCCCCCAAAUUUCUGAUUCAGUAGGUCUGGAGUGGGGCCUGAGAAUGUGCAUGUCUAACUGGUUCACAGAUGGUGCUGAUGCUGCAUGGUCCAAGGACCACACCACGUAAGAACCACUGGAACGUAGAAAUGCAAAUUCUUGGACCCCAGAAACCUGUGAUUUAACAAGACUUCCAGGAGAUUCCGAUGCCUGCUAAUCUGUGAAGAAAUGGGGGCUCGCUGAUAGCCGGCUAUCCCUUAGAGGAAGAUUUUAGGGAUGUGCCACAGGGUUCAGUCGAACUUAUAAUAAACCAGUGGCAAAGCAUGGAAAGCGCACUCAUCAAAUCUGAAGAUGACACGGAGCUGGGAGCAACAACUAAUUACUUGGAUGACAGAGUCAAGAUUCAAAAAGAUACUGACAGGCUGGACCGGUGGGCCAGAAGAAAUGAGAUGAAAUUUAAUAGGUAUAAAUAUAACUUCCUGCACUUAAAUUUAAAACCAUAUCAACCUUACCAGGACAGGGGAAGUUUCCAGAACCUGAGUCCAAUAGCUCAAGCAGCUCAGUAUUGUACUGGUUCCAUAACAGAAUCGUUGCCUUGUUUCUUAUGCCAGAUUCUUUCCUUGUAACUUGUCUCUGGUAACAUGCCACUUCCUCUCAUUUCCUGCUGCUGGGUGCACCCCAAUACCACAGACAUUAAAUAACUGUAGAGAUUUUUAAUGAAGUUUCAUUUUGAA